UCCCUGGUGCCUCAGUGGUAAAGAAUCUGCCUGCAAUUCAGGAGACCCAGGUUCGAGCCCUGGCUUGGAAA
rnacentral:tRNA from 1 species